rnacentral:rRNA from 1 species
AUCCGCGGUCGCUGCAGAGUUUGAUCCUGGGUCAGAUUGAACGCUGGCGGCAUGCUUUACAAAUGCAAGUCGAACGGUAACAGGCCUUCGGGUGCUGACGAGUGGCGAACGGGUGAGUAAUGCAUCGGAACGUACCCGGUCGUGGGGGAUAACGCAGAGAAAGCUGUGCUAAUACCGCAUAAGAUCUGAGGAUGAAAGCGGGGGACCUUUGGGCCUCGCGGGAUCGGAGGGGGCGAUGUCGGAUUAGGUAGUUGGUGGGGUAAAGGCUAACAAGGCGACGAUUCGUAGGUGGUAUGAGAGGACGACCAGCCAAAAUGGGAAUGAGA